AUUGAACGCUGGCGGAAUGCUUUACACAUGCAAGUCGAACGGCAGCACGGACUUCGGUCUGGUGGCGAGUGGCGAACGGGUGAGUAAUGUAUCGGAACGUGCCCAGUCGUGGGGGAUAACGUAGUGAAAAUUACGCUAAUACCGCAUACGAUCUAUGGAUGAAAGCGGGGGAUCGAAAGACCUCGCGCGAAUGGAGCGGCCGAUAUCAGAUUAGGUAGUUGGUAGGGUAAAGGCCUACCAAGCCAACGAUCUGUAGCUGGUCUGAGAGGACGACCAGCCACACUGGAACUGAGACACGGUCCAGACUCCUACGGGAGGCAGCAGUGGGGAAUUUUGGACAAUGGGCGAAAGCCUGAUCCAGCCAUUCCGCGUGCAGGAUGAAGGCCCUCGGGUUGUAAACUGCUUUUGUACAGAGCGAAAAGGUUUCUACUAAUACUAGGAGCUCAUGACAGUACUGUAAGAAUAAGCACCGGCUAACUACGUGCCAGCCGCCGCCGUAA
rnacentral:rRNA from 1 species